CAGGCAUCCUCCCUGCGACACUUCAGUGAAGACCUUGGAGAGGUGAAGUCCCUUAGUCUUGGUAUGAAGGAAAAUGUGUUUAUUUUCUUUUCACUCCUAUUUGGCAGGUUACAGAAUUCUAAGUUUAAUUCUAUCUUCAGUAUUUGCAGAUUAUUCUGUGCUUUGUCACCAUUUUAGAAAUUCUAUCACCUGGUCUUUUUUUUUUUUUUAAUUCCCUCUCCUCGUCUGUUACUCCUUGUGUUGGAUAACAAACCCCAUCAUCUUGCAAGAAGCCACAGAGAAUGAAAAAAAACGAGGUACUGGAAAACAUGAAGAUAAGAAGAAGGAGAGGAGAAGAGAGAGAGGAAAGCAUGAGGAGGUACACUUGCAUCCAUGGAAAAGGGGAUGUGAAAACGGAGAUCCUGGGCCGCAACAAGUGAGAGGAGUCGAUGCCAAAGGUGAGGCUUGAACAGAAGAGCAGAAGUGAACAGGAUGGAGAGAGCACAGUGGAGGUGGCAGAGAGGGAACAACUAAUGCAGAAACAGGGGAGACCAUGGUUCACGUGUGAGCAUGCUCAGUGGUGUCCGACACUUUGCAACCCAUGGAUUGUGGCCCACCUGGCUUCUCUGUCCAUGGGGUUUCUCCAGGCAAGAAUGCUGGAGGGGGUUACAAUUUCCUCCUCAAGGGAAUCUUCCUAAUCCAGGGAUCAAACCUGUGUCUGUCUCCUGUGUCUCCUGAAUUGGCAGGAGGACUCUGUACCACCGAGGCACCUGGGAAGCCCAUGGCUCAGUUUAGGAAUGUGAAACUAGUUUACUGUGAUUAGAGUAUAGCAAUGAAGAAAUUGGUUUUAGGUGCUCCUGAAGAAAGACGCUGGAGCAGCCGUGAAGAGAUACCCCACGCCCAAGCUCCCCACGUGGCUCAGUAGUGAAGAGUCCGCUUGCAAUGCAGGAGCUGCAGGUUCAAUCUCUGGAUCAAGGAGAUCCUCUGGAGAAGAAAAGGGCAACCCACUUCAGGACUCUUGCCUGAGAAAUCCCAUGGACAGAGGAGCCUGGUGGACUACAGUCAUAAAUUCGCAAAAGAGUCAACCACUAGUUACCAAAUAAACAACAAAUGUAUAUAUGUGUUGUGUGCGUG
ensembl:lncRNA